UUACAUAACUUGUGUUUGCCCAAUUCCAUGGUGUAGUACCAUAACUUCUCAGUGCAGUGCAGACAACACAUGGAUUCCAUUUUUUGAUUAAAGUAUCAUCUGCUACAAAUAUGAAUCAUGGCUUAGUUUGUAGACUUCAUAAAGAAACACACAGAUUAAUCAAACCAGUCUUCGAAGAGUCUCUGUGGAUAGGAACGUUCCAAAGCAAAGUAAGAUGCAAGUUGUAUUGCAUAAAAACCAGGUACACAUCAAUCAGCUGCAUUCUGGAAGACUAAACUGCAACACAACUACAUCUGCAAUCACAGAGAAAUCAGGUAUACGACCAAUUGUUAUCUAUUGUAAAUAUUUUGUUUUUUAGGUCAACAACGGAGAGGGUCAAGCGAUCCCCACGUACAGAUGCCAGCAUGGUCUUUUACAUGGUUCCAAGAGGAGGUAAAUCGAGUGUAGCCCUAAAAAGAUCUGCCUUGUGCCACUUCAACACUUUAACCCAGAUGCAAUAAAAAAACACUUUAACCCAGAUGCUGCAUUGUGGUGUGGCAAAGGCUUGAGAAUAUGACAAUAACAGCUGCUCAAAAACUGUUGGUAGGAACAUUUAUAGCAGCAAAAGAACAAAAUGGAAUGUGUGGUUUCUUAUCUGCCUUAGAUGAGAUAAGAUUUCGGACAUGUGUAUUCAUGUUUUCGAGUGAUUUGGCACUAUGAAUGCGCUAGAUGGUUGGUUGCUUUUUUUUGUUAAUUGCUCAGGUGAUAUAUGCUGUAUUUCUAGUCACUAGUGUUGUAUUGUUUGUGCUUGUGCUAAGAUGAUCUCUUUUGCACUUGUAACAGGGGCUCAUUCAAGUACUCUACUGAUCGAAAAUGGAUGGCGUCUGUGAUGGUUCAUUCUUUUGCACGUCUUCUACACGGGUACAUUGACGGUUGAUGGAGAUGGAUGGUGGUGUAGCUGUUUUGUUUAGCAAUUAGCACUCUAGGUGUUGGACCACUGUUUUGUUAAUGGAUGCUAUGUAACAGUAGUAUGUAACUAAUGUGAACUUGUUUAGGUUGCUGUGAAACUGUUAUACAACACAUUGUUAUGGGGUUGUUACACAGCUGAUAUGUUAUGAACAUGAUAUGGAGAUAUCUUUUCCUUUUUGGUUUGGGUUUUACUGUUGUGCCAUUCGUCUCAUAAGUUAUGCCAUUUUAUUAUUUACUUUUGGAUUGAUAUAUAUUCGUCUCUGAAGCCUUCCUUCACUACAAUAUGUCUCUGUCAUCAACGUAUCCACUGGCUGAGACACGAAGCCGUGGAUAGCUUCCUUUAUGGCCGUGUCCACGCUUCCGCAUCUCAUAUUUUUUCUUAUCAAAAGAUGCAUCGACGUUCACCAUCACUUUUCCCUCAGGAGGUUUCUAUCAUCCGUGCUGUAUUUUUGUUUCUUUGUUCCUUGUUUGUUGCUAGCUUGGAGUAAUUUCUUUGUAGAGCUGGAGCUCCCCAGCAAUGUCCUUAAUAUUAACGGCCUCUUUAAUCUGAAAACGGAAAAAUAAAGAAGAGAGAAACGGGAGAAGAAGAAAGAAAGGAUGGAGAGCAAGUGGGUCCUGUGGCAUGGAGGAACAUGGAGCACAGAAAAGAGUAGUAAUAUAAUGUGAUGGAACGGCCGGAAUUGAGAUGGUGCUCAUAAGAUACGGUGUCGUGGAGGGAAACCGUUCCACCCAUCUCAAUGACACCGUAUCUUAUGAGCAAGGAGCCCUGCUGCUCCCAUGAGCAAAAUCAAUCCAGACCACAUCCUCCACAUCCAACGGUGCUGCGUUAGGGGGGUUUUGUAAAAUGUACAGAGUUGCAAAGAACAUUUUACAAAACCCCCUGAUAUAGCACCGUUGGAUGUGGAGGGUGUGGUCUGGAUUGAUUUUGCUCAUGGGAGCACCAACGCUCUUUGCGCACAAGAUACGUUCUCUCCCUCCACAACCACUUGCUCCUCAUCUACUUUUCUCCUCCGCCUUCCACUCAUCCUUGCUCCUGCCUGCCGUCGUGCAUCAUCAUCUCCGGCCAGGGCCAGGGCAUUCGUCUCCGCCUCCGGUCCGGCCUCCUCCACACCGCGCCCCCCCCCCCCCCCAGACGCGUCGCUGCGUAGCUGCUGGCCGCCAUGGCCACCGUCAUGGCCGCGGCCGUCUAGUCCUUCCCGUCCUCCUCGGCCGUCGUCGCCAAGGCGUCGCCGGCGUCCCCCUGUGCCGCCCCGCACUUCCGCCCGAGGGCCGUGCGGGCCGCUAUCCGGGCGCAGGCGUCCGCCGUCGAGGCGCCCGCCACGGCCAAGGCCAAGAAGGAGUCCAAGAAGCAGGAGGAGGGCGUCGUCACCAACCUAUACAAGCCCAAGGAGCCGUACGUCGGCAGGUGCCUCCUCAACACCAAGAUCACCGGCGACGACGCGCCGGGGGAGACGUGGCACAUGGUCUUCAGCACCGAAGGUAGGUACUGAGGUUAAAAAAAAAAUCUGAUUUUUGCUGCCUUGUUCGUUCGUUCAAUUGCUGUAUUCGUAUCGUAUGUAUAUACGCUGAUGGACGCACGUACGCAGGCCCUUCUUUGCCUGCGCGAGGUCUCAGAAUCCGGGGGGAAAAGAAAAGAAAAGAAAAGAUGAUGACUGUCUCUACCUCUUGCUACAUGUGCCGCUCCCUCGUCCGGGCUCCUCCGCUCAAGUCCAGGAGUGCAGUGCGCUGUCCAAGCGCCGCCCCGCCAGGUGCUAGCGGUGCCACCUCCACCUCCAAGGUAAACCCACACCUACUACCUGUGUGCUUCGUAAGGUCUAUCUACACCUAUAGGCUGCAGCCACCAGCACAGGAAUAUGUACUAGCCUGCUCGUUUCAGUUGGAACAGUAUUCUCCAGUUUUGGAUUGGAACAUGCAGCCACAGCCAAAAGUAGCUGAAGCGAUUGGAGUUGUAGCUUUUCGGGGAUAAUCAAAUGAUAGGAGAGUGGAGGUGGUAGAUCAUGUGUAAGCUUUAGACUACUGACUGAUUCACUUGUCUAUCCGGCGCUGGUUGCUUUCCCUGUGUGAAGCUUGUCCUAGAGGUGAAAGAACGGCUAGCAAGGGAGCACCCAGGCCUCCCCACGGGCAGGAACGGGAGGGACGAUGACGACAUGGUCCUCUGGUUCCUAAAGGACCGCAAGUUCUCCGUCGAUGAAGCCGUCUCCAAGCUCACCAAGGCGAUUGUAUCCUCUAAUUCACUCGCUUGUAGCAGUGAAGCUCACACCUAAUAUAUAGCUUCUUUACUGGCUCACUAAAUUCCUGGUAUGGUAACCGAGUUCAUAUAGCACUGCUAUCUUCAGUUUUCCUUUCAACUGCAUUAGAAAUGGCGUCAGGACUUUGGUGUUGCAGAGUUAUCAGAGGAAUCAGUGAAAAGCCUGUACCAAACUGGCAAGGCAUAUGUACAUGAUUCCUUGGACAUUUAUGGCCGACCUGUGCUGAUUGUAGUGGCAGCCAAACAUUUUCCUUCGGUGCGUUCCGUUUGUUUCCCAAUCUUGAUUUGGAAAUGCUCAACAGGAUAGUGGCUACACACUGUUUCCAGUUUUUUAGAAUAGUACACAUAACAAAGGCUGACAGUAUGCAGUGGAAAGUAUCAGUACUUCACACCUCAUAGCAGCUCUAAAAUUAAACUACAUGGCUUGGCUAGCUGACCUGUAACCUAUGGAUGUCUUAGUAUUCAACAUGCAUUUGUUCUUCAUAAUAAUGAUGAUCCAUGUAUAAUAUGCUACUGCAGACACAGGAUCCAGUUGGAAACCAGAAGUUGUGUGCCUAUUUGGUUGAGAAGGCAGUCAGCAGACUUCCGCCAGGAGUAGAGAAUAUACUUGGGAUCUUUGAUCUGCGAGGCUUUCGGGUUGAAAAUGGUGAUCUCCAGUUCCUAAAGUUUUUGGUGAGUUUGGUAGCUUCAAGGCAUGACUAAGCAUCUCUGAUUACCUUUUGUGUUGUUCGGUGGUAGACAGGCAUAUUUUUAUUUGUGACGAUAUGAAUGAAACAUUGUGUUUAUUUGUGACGAUAUGAAUGAAACAUUGCAAAAGGAGGGCAGUAAUGCCACAGUAAAAAAACUGGUAAUCAUUCAUGUAAGGUAUACAUCUGUUGAAAAAGUAAUUCCGGCUGAAUAAAAUAAGAAACUUUUUCCUGGAUAUGAAAACUCUGUUGAUGCAUGCCAAUUUAAAAAACAAAGAACGUGCAUGUUCAUGCUCCCAGAAGUCAGAAGGCGAAAAAGUUUAUCUAAUGAAUUAAUUCAAAUCACAUACGGAUGGAGUUCUAAUUCUUGUUCUAUGUUGCAACUAAUAUACAUAUAAACAUGAUUUUUUGGGGUAUAUGCAUCGCAAUUAAUGUCCCCUCCCAUUCCCAGAUGGACGUUUUUUACUAUUACUACCCGAAGCGGCUUGGCCAAGUUCUUUUUGUCGAUGCUCCUUUUGUUUUUCAACCAAUGUGGCAGGUUGUUAAACCUCUGUUGAAAUCAUAUGCCUCCCUGGUAUGCUCUCCCUCUCUCUUAGGUUAGCGCUUCAUCGAACGAUAUGGAUAACCUUACAGUCUACUGCUAUGUUGCCCCUGCUAGGUAAGAUUUUGUGAUGCCGAGACUGUGAGGAAGGAAUACUUCAAAGAAGAAAUCGUGCCUCCUGAUUUCCGCGAUUAGGUGACAUGAUUAUUUCUUCAGUAAUUGCAAGUCAGUUUUACCUCUGCCUUUGUGUAACGAUUGAAAUUCUAAAUUGUGCAGAUUACUUUUAGUUUUUCCAAUCUCUCCUAAAAGCUAUUUUGCAGAAAUGUGCAGGUGGUCUCGGAAACAUGGCCUUUAAUUUAUUGAGAAUCGAUUGGCACCCAGGGGGACUGGCGCCUUCCCAUACCUUUGGAUUAACCUCUCAAAAGUUGCUCAGACGGCAGCAAAUGAUUGGAGAGUCCAGUAAAAAAUGACCCAGUACUUGUAUAACUAGUGCGAAGUAGAAUGCUGAGUUUAGGCUGCUGUCUUGAGUGCUCCUAUACCAUAUUUUUCUGGUUUUGGAUGAAGCUAUAUGGAUCAAAUUCAUCUCUGUUGAACAAUUGCCAAUUACAUAACUUGUGUUUGCCCAAUUCCAUGGUGUAGUACCAUAACUUCUCAGUGCAGUGCAGACAACACAUGGAUUCCAUUUUUUUAUUAAAGUACCAUCUGCUACAAAUAUGAAUCAUGGCUUUGUUUGUAGACUUCAUAAAGAAACACACAGAUUAAUCAAACCAGUCUUCGAAGAGUCUGCUAUGGAUAGGAACGUUC
rnacentral:lncRNA from 1 species